AAGGGGGCAGUCAUCCCAAUGGGCCUUGCAAGAAGUACGGGUUAAUAUGGUUACGGCAUUUUCUUCUAGGAACAAAUAUGAUCCCACAUUUAGCUCCACAGGAAGUCAACAAGCACAAGAAACAACAGGGCAAAGGUGUUCCAGAAAAGCGAGCCAGAGCACAUGAGCACCAGGGGCCCUUUCAAAAUAAAGGCAGACCGAGAGGAAGGUAGGCUGCUCCCCCAAGAGUCUGAUGUGGGACCUCAGUGGGAGUUCCAGGCUUGGACCAAAGGCUGUUCGUGACCUUUGUCCAACUGCUACAAGCUCUUAAAAAAAGACAGUCCAGAUUUGCUUCUUUCAUCCUGUAACAGGAAGCUCUUAAGCAGGGCAUGCGGCAAAGUCCCUGACCAUGUGUCUCCUGUCUCUGCAGGGCUCAGUGCAUGCAAAGGGAGGAUCACCCUCUGUCCAGCCAGAGGGGUGCGCCACCCCAGCUGCCAGUCUGCACGGCUGCCCAGACUCCAGAGGCCGUAGCUAUCGCUCUUGAGUGCUGCCUGGAUCGUGUUACUGGAGUCAAGUGUGAGAAACUCAUAAAAGAUGCAGCAGCUUCUGGGUGCAUGAAAGCCCCUGCUGUGACACCUUCUCGUGCUCCCCGAAGGGCAUCUUUUAUCCGGGCACCUGUACUCUGA
rnacentral:lncRNA from 1 species